AAACCAAAGACCCAUUGAGGGUACAACCUCACUUAAAGAAGUGCUUUGAAGGGAUAGCUAAGCUGGACUUCACUGAAGAUAUGGAAAUCACCGGUAUAGUCAGCUCAGAGAGAGAAACAGUUCCUUUAAUUCAGAAAAUCUUUCCGGCUAAAGCAAAA